UUUGAAAUAGGGAGGCGGCUUAAAAUCUGUUUUUAUAUUAUCGGUCUUCCUAAGGAUUCCCAGUGGUCUUUGAAACCUGUCUUUCUUCCUAAUUACUCUAGAGCUCUUGUCAAAGUACUGACAUUAGUCCCUGUUCUUUCUCAGAAGUAUCUGCUAUUAGAUGAUUUCUUGAUUUGGGAUGAGGAAGAACUUCCUUUCACUGGCCUCUCGGUUUCCUAUCUACCACCUAGCAUACUGCUGGCAAAGAGAGCUUACGGAAUACCU
rnacentral:lncRNA from 1 species